GAUGAACGCUGGCGGCGUGCCUAAUACAUGCAAGUCGAGCGAAUGGAUUAAGAGCUUGCUCUUAUGAAGUUAGCGGCGGACGGGUGAGUAACACGUGGGUAACCUGCCCAUAAGACUGGGAUAACUCCGGGAAACCGGGGCUAAUACCGGAUAACAUUUUGAACCGCAUGGUUCGAAAUUGAAAGGCGGCUUCGGCUGUCACUUAUGGAUGGACCCGCGUCGCAUUAGCUAGUUGGUGAGGUAACAGCUCACCAAGGCAACGAUGCGUAGCCGACCUGAGAGGGUGAUCGGACACACUGGGACUGAGACACGGCCCAGACUCCUACGGGAGGCAGCAGUAGGGCAUCUUCCGCAAUGGACGAAAGUCUGACGGAGCAACGCCGCGUGAGUGAUGAAGGCUUUCGGGUCGUAAAACUCUGUUGUUAGGGAAGAACAAGUGCUAGUUGAAUAAGCUGGCACCUUGACGGUACCUAACCAGAAAGCCACGGCUAACUACGUGCCAGCCGCCGCAGUAA
rnacentral:rRNA from 1 species